GGAGUUAGCCGGUGCUUCUUCUGUGAGUGAUGUCCUUCCUGCCGGCUAUUAACCCGCAGGCCUUCUUCCUCACUGAAAGUGCUUUACAACCCGAAGGCCUUCUUCACACACGCGGCAUGGCUGGAUCAGGGUUGCCCCCAUUGUCCAAUAUUCCCCACUGCUGCCUCCCGUAGGAGUCUGGGCCGUGUCUCAGUCCCAGUGUGGCUGAUCAUCCUCUCAGACCAGCUACGGAUCGUCGCCUUGGUGAGCCGUUACCUCACCAACCAGCUAAUCCGACAUAGGCUCAUCCGAUAGCGCGAGGCCCGAAGGUCCCCCGCUUUCCCCCGUAGGGCGUAUGCGGUAUUAGCCUGGGUUUCCCCCAGGUUAUCCCCCGACUACCGGGCAGAUUCCUAUGCAUUACUCACCCGUCCGCCGCUCGCCACCAGGGAGCAAGCUCCCCGUGCUGCCGCUCGACUUGCAUGUGUUAGGCCUGCCGCCAGCGUUCAAUCUGAGCCAGAAUCGAACCCUGA
rnacentral:rRNA from 1 species